rnacentral:rRNA from 1 species
GUGGAUGAGGCAUGCAAGUCGAACGGAGUGUAGCAAUACACUUAGUGGCGGAAGGGUUAGUAAUGCAUGGGUAACUUGCCUUUAACACUGGGAUAACGGUUGGAAACGAUCGCUAAUACCGGAUGUGGUGGCACAAGGCAUCUUGUGCAAAUCAAAGUGGGGGAUCGUAAGACCUCGCAGUUAAAGAGAGGCCCAUGUGAUAUCAGCUAGUUGGUGAGGUAAGAGCUCACCAAGGCUAAGACGUCUAGGCGGAUUGAGAGAUUG